rnacentral:rRNA from 1 species
ACUCCUACGGGAGGCAGCAGUGGGGAAUAUUGGACAAUGGGCGCAAGCCUGAUCCAGCCAUGCCGCGUGAGUGAUGAAGGCCCUAGGGUUGUAAGCUCUUUCAGCGAGGAGGAUAAUGACGUUACUCGCAGAAGAAGCCCGGCUAACUUCGUGCCAGCAGCCGCGGUAAUACGAAGGGGGCUAGCGUUUGUUCGGAAUCACUGGGCGUAAAGCGCACGUAGGCGGACUUUUUAAGUCAGGGUGAAAUCCCGGGCUCAACCCGGAACUGCCUUUGAUACUGGAAGUCUUGAGUCCGAGAGAGGUGAGUGGAACUCCGAGUGUAGAGGUGAAAUUCGUAGAUAUUCGGAAGAACACCAGUGGCGAAGGCGGCUCACUGGCUCGGUACUGACGCUGAGGUGCGAAAAGCGUGGGGAGCAAACAGGAUUAGAUACCCUGGUAGGACAGUG